UACGAAGGGGGCUAGCGUUGUUCGGAAUCACUGGGCGUAAAGGGCGCGUAGGCGGCUUUAUAAGUCGGGGGUGAAAGCCUGUGGCUCAACCACAGAAUUGCCUUCGAUACUGUAGAGCUUGAGACCGGAAGAGGUAAGUGGAACUGCGAGUGUAGAGGUGAAAUUCGUAGAUAUUCGCAAGAACACCAGUGGCGAAGGCGGCUCACUGGCCCGUAACUGACGCUGAGGCACGAAAGCGUGGGGAGCAAACAGG
rnacentral:rRNA from 1 species